GAUGCAACUUUGUUAUUCUUUCUUUUGUAUUAAAUUUUUUUUUUUAUAAUUAUUGAAAUUACAAUGGUACCAUAACUAAAUGUCUUUAAAAUUUAAUUAGACAACUAAACUAAAGAUAUUAACAAACAUAAUCUAACUAGCUUAUUUUAAGUACUCCCACUAAAAUUAAUUCAUUUCCCCACCUAACUCAUUAAAAUGACCCAAAUUAAAACUAAAAGAAAAACAGAAAAAUCGAGCCCUAAUUUCUUUCUACGAUUAAAACCCUAGAUCUAGUUCAUCUUCAUCACUUAUCUUGCUCAUCUCCACCUUCAUCUUCUCUCUCCACCUCCACUUUCUCUCUCCUUCCAUUGUAGGAUGGAAAUAUCAUAACCUUCAUCUUCUCUCUCCACUUCCUUAUUGACCAAAAAUGGCGGAUCUCACCCCACUUGAUAAAGCUUGUUUACUAAGUGACGAUUUGGGCGAAAUUCGGCAACUCAACAAGUUAAUUGAGUUGAUUGAGAGCGGGUCAUCAGCUUCAACUAUUCGCUGUCGCUUUAAUUGUGAGGAAAUUGGUAAUGUUUUGAGUUGUAAUUCCAUAAAAGCUUGAGGGAAAGUUCUAAGAUCUGUUGAGGAAGAUGAGGAGGCAAAUAAAAAAAAAUUGCUCCAGAAUAUGGUCAUGGAACACCGGUUUUGAAAGAUCUAAAAGUGUGUGGGGGUUCUUCUUCCACAAAAAAGCAUGUCCUGUUAACACUGCUUAGACUACGCCGUGGUCCUCCCAAUAAGAUCACAGAUCUGAUUGAAGAGGAGGAAAGUAAGGCUACCCUAUUGGGGAAUAAACGCAAGAGAUCUGGACAAGAAGAUGAUGAGGGAAAUUCACCGAAAAUGUCAUCCCCCUGUCCUCAGCGUUGUUGAUGAAGAAAGAGGUUGGAAGAAGUGCACAAGAUCGACUAUUAAGCUCAGAUGCUGAUGUUAACGAAGAUACUCUUUUUUUUUUUGGAGGACUCACUUAAUUUAUGGUGUAUUAAUUAGGACAUUAUGUUUGGAACCUUGUUAUUAUUGAAAAUUUAUGAUGAAGUUGCUGGUAGUUGAUUGAA